UGAAAUUACGCCUUCCAUGAAGCCGGAAUUGCUAGUAAUGGCAGGUCAGCAUACUGCCGUGAAUACGUUCCCGGGCCCUUGUACACACCGCCCGUCACACCAUGAGAGUUGGGGAUACCCGAAGCCUGUGAGCCAACUUUUUAAGAGGCAGCAGUCGAAGGUAGAAUCAAUGAUUGGGGUGAAGUCGUAACAAGGUAAC
rnacentral:rRNA from 1 species